UUAAGCGACUAAGCGUACACGGUGGAUGCCCUGGCAGUCAGAGGCGAUGAAGGACGUGCUAAUCUGCGAAAAGCGCCGGCGAGGUGAUAUGAACCUUUGACCCGGCGAUGUCCGAAUGGGGAAACCCAGUGUGAUUCGUCACACUAUCGUUAACUGAAUACAUAGGUUAACGAGGCGAACCGGGGGAACUGAAACAUCUAAGUACCCCGAGGAAAAGAAAUCAACCGAGAUUCCCCCAGUAGCGGCGAGCGAACGGGGAGCAGCCCGGAGUCUGAAUCAGCUUGUGUGUUAGUGGAACGGUCUGGAAAGUCCGACGGUACAGGGUGAUAGUCCCGUACACGAAAAUGCACAGGUUGUGAACUCGAAGAGUAGGGCGGGACACGUGGUAUCCUGUCUGAAUAUGGGGGGACCAUCCUCCAAGGCUAAAUACUCCUGACUGACCGAUAGUGAACCAGUACCGUGAGGGAAAGGCGAAAAGAACCCCGGCGAGGGGAGUGAAAAAGAACCUGAAACCGUGUACGUACAAGCAGUGGGAGCCUACUUGUUAGGUGACUGCGUACCUUUUGUAUAAUGGGUCAGCGACUUAUAUUCUGUAGCAAGGUUAACCGUAUAGGGGAGCCGAAGGGAAACCGAGUCUUAACUGGGCGUUAAGUUGCAGGGUAUAGACCCGAAACCCGGUGAUCUAGCCAUGGGCAGGUUGAAGGUUGGGUAACACUAACUGGAGGACCGAACCGACUAAUGUUGAAAAAUUAGCGGAUGACCUGUGGCUGGGGGUGAAAGGCCAAUCAAACCGGGAGAUAGCUGGUUCUCCCCGAAAGCUAUUUAGGUAGCGCCUCGUGAACUCAUCUUCGGGGGUAGAGCACUGUUUCGGCUAGGGGGCCAUCCCGGCUUACCAACCCGAUGCAAACUACGAAUACCGAAGAAUGUUAUCACGGGAGACACACGGCGGGUGCUAACGUCCGUCGUGAAGAGGGAAACAACCCAGACCGCCAGCUAAGGUCCCAAAGUCAUGGUUAAGUGGGAAACGAUGUGGGAAGGCACAGACAGCCAGGAUGUUGGCUUAGAAGCAGCCAUCAUUUAAAGAAAGCGUAAUAGCUCACUGGUCGAGUCGGCCUGCGCGGAAGAUGUAACGGGGCUAAACCAUGCACCGAAGCUGCGGCAGCGACGCUUAUGCGUUGUUGGGUAGGGGAGCGUUCUGUAAGCCGUUGAAGGUGGCCUGUGAGGGUUGCUGGAGGUAUCAGAAGUGCGAAUGCUGACAUAAGUAACGAUAAAGCGGGUGAAAAGCCCGCUCGCCGGAAGACCAAGGGUUCCUGUCCAACGUUAAUCGGGGCAGGGUGAGUCGACCCCUAAGGCGAGGCCGAAAGGCGUAGUCGAUGGGAAACAGGUUAAUAUUCCUGUACUUGGUGUUACUGCGAAGGGGGGACGGAGAAGGCUAUGUUAGCCGGGCGACGGUUGUCCCGGUUUAAGCAUGUAGGCGGAGGUUCCAGGUAAAUCCGGUACCUUUUUAACGCUGAGGUGUGAUGACGAGGCACUACGGUGCUGAAGUAACAAAUGCCCUGCUUCCAGGAAAAGCCUCUAAGCAUCAGGUAACACGAAAUCGUACCCCAAACCGACACAGGUGGUCAGGUAGAGAAUACCAAGGCGCUUGAGAGAACUCGGGUGAAGGAACUAGGCAAAAUGGUGCCGUAACUUCGGGAGAAGGCACGCUGAUAUGUAGGUGAAGCCCCUGCGGGUGGAGCUGAAAUCAGUCGAAGAUACCAGCUGGCUGCAACUGUUUAUUAAAAACACAGCACUGUGCAAACACGAAAGUGGACGUAUACGGUGUGACGCCUGCCCGGUGCCGGAAGGUUAAUUGAUGGGGUUAGCGGCAACGCGAAGCUCUUGAUCGAAGCCCCGGUAAACGGCGGCCGUAACUAUAACGGUCCUAAGGUAGCGAAAUUCCUUGUCGGGUAAGUUCCGACCUGCACGAAUGGCGUAAUGAUGGCCAGGCUGUCUCCACCCGAGACUCAGUGAAAUUGAACUCGCUGUGAAGAUGCAGUGUACCCGCGGCAAGACGGAAAGACCCCGUGAACCUUUACUAUAGCUUGACACUGAACACUGGUCCUUGAUGUGUAGGAUAGGUGGGAGGCUUUGAAGCGUGGACGCCAGUCUGCGUGGAGCCGACCUUGAAAUACCACCCUUUAAUGGCUGGUGUUCUAACGUAGACCCGUAAUCCGGGUUGCGGACAGUGUCUGGUGGGUAGUUUGACUGGGGCGGUCUCCUCCCAAAGAGUAACGGAGGAGCACGAAGGUUAGCUAAUCCUGGUCGGACAUCAGGAGGUUAGUGCAAUGGCAUAAGCUAGCUUGACUGCGAGAGUGACGGCUCGAGCAGGUGCGAAAGCAGGUCAUAGUGAUCCGGUGGUUCUGAAUGGAAGGGCCAUCGCUCAACGGAUAAAAGGUACUCCGGGGAUAACAGGCUGAUACCGCCCAAGAGUUCAUAUCGACGGCGGUGUUUGGCACCUCGAUGUCGGCUCAUCACAUCCUGGGGCUGAAGUAGGUCCCAAGGGUAUGGCUGUUCGCCAUUUAAAGUGGUACGCGAGCUGGGUUUAGAACGUCGUGAGACAGUUCGGUCCCUAUCUGCCGUGGGCGCUGGAGAAUUGAGGGGGGCUGCUCCUAGUACGAGAGGACCGGAGUGGACGCAUCACUGGUGUUCGGGUUGUCAUGCCAAUGGCACUGCCCGGUAGCUAAAUGCGGAAGAGAUAAGUGCUGAAAGCAUCUAAGCACGAAACUUGCCCCGAGAUGAGUUCUCCCUGAGACUAUAAGUCUCCUGAAGGAACGUUGAAGACGACGACGUUGAUAGGUCGGGUGUGUAAGCGCAGCGAUGCGUUGAGCUAACCGAUACUAAUGAACCGUGAGGCUUAACCUU
rnacentral:rRNA from 3 species